UACGUAGGUGGCAAGCGUUGUCCGGAAUUAUUGGGCGUAAAGCGCGCGCAGGCGGUUCCUUAAGUCUGAUGUGGAAGCCCCCGGCUCAACCGGGGAGGGUCAUUGGAAACUGGGGAACUUGAGUGCAGGAGAGGAAAGCGGAAUUCCACGUGUAGCGGUGAAAUGCGUAGAUAUGUGGAGGAACACCAGUGGCGAAGGCGGCUUUCGGGUCUGUAACUGACUCUGAGGCGCGAAAGCGUGGGGAGCAAACAGG
rnacentral:rRNA from 1 species